rnacentral:rRNA from 1 species
UUGCUCUGUGGAUCAGUGGCGAACGGGUGAGUAACACGUGAGCAAUCUGCCCCUGACUCUGGGAUAAGCGCUGGAAACGGCGUCUAAUACCGGAUACGAGCUGCGAAGGCAUCUUCAGCAGCUGGAAAGAAUUUCGGUCAGGGAUGAGCUCGCGGCCUAUCAGCUUGUUGGUGAGGUAACGGCUCACCAAGGCGUCGACGGGUAGCCGGCCUGAGAGGGUGACCGGCCACACUGGGACUGAGACACGGCCCAGACUCCUACGGGAGGCAGCAGUGGGGAAUAUUGCACAAUGGGCGAAAGCCUGAUGCAGCAACGCCGCGUGAGGGACGACGGCCUUCGGGUUGUAAACCUCUUUUAGCAGGAAAGAAGCGAAAGUGACGGUACCUGCAGAAAAAGCGCCGGCUAACUACGUGCCAGCAGCCGCGGUAAUACGUAGGGCGCAAGCGUUAUCCGGAAUUAUUGGGCGUAAAGAGCUCGUAGGCGGUCUGUCGCGUCUGCUGUGAAAACCCGAGGCUCAACCUCGGGCCUGCAGUGGGUACGGGCAGACUAGAGUGCGGUAGGGGAGAUUGGAAUUCCUGGUGUAGCGGUGGAAUGCGCAG